GAAACGGUGGCUAUACCGAAUGUGCCGCAACGUGAAAAGAUUUAUCGCCUGAAGAUGAGCUCGCGUCCGAUUAGCUAGUUGGUGAGGUAAAAGCUCACCAAGGCGACGAUCGGUAGCUGGUCUGAGAGGAUGACCAGCCACACUGGGACUGAGACACGGCCCAGACUCCUACGGGAGGCAGCAGUGGGGAAUUUUCCGCAAUGGGCGCAAGCCUGACGGAGCAAGACCGCGUGAGGGAGGAAGGCNCUUGCGGUUGUAAACCNCUUUUNUCAGGGAAGAANAAAGUGNCGGUACCUGAGGAAUCAGCCUCGGUUAACUCCGUGCCAGCAGCCGCGGUAUUACGGAGGAGGCAAGCGUUUUCCGGAAUUAUUGGGCGUAAAGCGUCC
rnacentral:rRNA from 1 species